rnacentral:rRNA from 1 species
UACGAGGGGGGCGAGCGUGUUCGGAAUUAUUGGGCGUAAAGGGUGCGUAGGCGGUUUGGUAAGUCUUAUGUGAAAUCUAUGGGCUCAACUCAUAGUCUGCAUGAGAAACUGCCGGGCUUGAGUAUGGGAGAGGUGAGUGGAAUCCUGGUGUAGCGGUGAAAUGCGUAGAUAUCAGGAGGAACACCUGUGGCGAAAGCGGCUCACUGGACCAUAACUGACGCUGAUGCACGAAAGCUAGGGGAGCAAACAGG